rnacentral:tRNA from 1 species
CAGCGUCGUGGCCAGCUCGGUGCGGGCCUGGUCGAUGCUGUCGGCCAGUUCCUGGUUGAAGCGCUCGAUGCGCUGGACAUUGC